AUACGUAGGGGGCGAGCGUUGUCCGGAAUGAUUGGGCGUAAAGGGCGCGUAGGCGGCCCGGUAAGUCUGGAGUGAAAGUCCUGUUUUUAAGAUGGGAAUUGCUUUGGAUACUGUCGGGCUUGAGUGCAGGAGAGGUAAGUGGAAUUCCCAGUGUAGCGGUGAAAUGCGUAGAGAUUGGGAGGAACACCAGUGGCGAAGGCGACUUACUGGACUGUAACUGACGCUGAGGCGCGAAAGUGUGGGGAGCAAACAGGAUUAGAUACCCGGGUAGUCCACACUGUAAACGAUGGAUGCUAGGUGUAGGGGGUAUCGACCCCUUCUGUGCCGCAGUCAACACAAUAAGCAUUCCGCCUGGGGAGUACGGUCGCAAGGUUGAAACUCAAAUGAAUUGACGGGG
rnacentral:rRNA from 1 species